AUGGGCGUAGGUUUGGUCUCAGCUUUGGUGGGGACAACGUUGGUAUCGAUAUUAUCGAUAUUAGUAUCGAUCUGCCCACCUCUAUUGGAGGCUGUGUUUGGAUUUUCUUUUGAGAUUUUAAUAAACGUCGAUAUGUUUGGCCAGUACUGCUCGAUCAAGAACUGCCAUAGCAGGUCACACGAUCGUUCAGGGAGGAAACUGAACAACGGAAUACGUUUUUUCAGCCUUCCUUCCUGGAAAAAACAACAAGGAAAGCAGGUGGAGGAGGUUGCCGCAAUCAAGAGAAAAACAUUUUUACUUUCCAAAACAUCCCUGCAUCAGCGAGAGUGUGUUCGCUGCAUUUUCAGUCAGGACAACCAGCAUUUGAAAUGCUGGAUACUCAUCCUGACUGGGCACCAUCUUUACUUCUGGGCCACAAUGAAGUGAAAGUGAUGAACAAAGAGAGGUUUGCACGUCAGUUAAGAAAAUACCUCAAACAUCAGGUAAUUAGCAAGAGGCCAGGAGAGGAAGGGGAGGAGAAAGAACAAGAAGAAAGUUGUCACAGUCUGCUGUGCUCUUACAAACAUGUGUCCAAGUGUUGUGCAGUGAUUGCUAAAUCAACUGGUUUGUAAAAACGUUUGUUAAAAGUUGUACAAAGCAAAAGGUGUUGUGUAUUGUAUAUUCCUUGAUGAUUUGUAGGAUAGUUGAUGAAUGAUGUUGAAUUUGUGGAUUAUGUUAGCAGAUGAUAAAGACAGGCCACAUUGCAUGAAUCAAAAAUUAUUUAUUUUGUUUUCAAUGAACAAUUUGCUUUGAUAUUCUGUACAUAUUUUUACAUGCCUUUUUGAAGUGUUUCUGACUCAAGUUUUUAUAUAACUGCUUAUUAAAUACAUUAAGUGACUUAUCUGUUUCUGUACUGAUUGUAUUCACAGAGACCCUUUAAAGGGAUAGUUUACUUUAAAAUGAAAAUUCUGUCAUUUAUUCACCCUCAAGUUGUUUCAAACCUGUAUGAAUUUCUUUCUUCUGCUGAACACAAAGGAAGAUAUUUUGAAGAAUGUCAAUAACCAAACAGUUACCUGGAACCACUGACUUCCAUAGCAGGAAAAAAAAAUCUAUGGAAGUCAGUGGUUCCAGAUAACUGUUUGGGUACUGACAUUCUUCAACAUGGGUGCAUGUCUCUGCAACUCCAGGCAUACACGUACAGUGGGCUGAGGAAACUUCACCAUUGGUGUUGAUAAUAACCCAAGCCUUCAGAGGAACUUCACCAAGGCACUGGGAGUGCAUCACCUGUACAUAAAGACAGAAAUGUUAAUCAAUGACAGAUAAAUUUGUUAUCUGAUUAAUACAAAUUAAAUGUAGUUAAUUUGUGAUUAAUAAAAGCAGAACCACUUAAAUUAUCUUGCUUUUAUGCUUACACUGUCAAACUAAUUUGUAAAUGUAAAUUAUGUAUUUCAAUGUAAAAAUAAUGUAAUGUAAAUUAUUGAUUAUACAUUAUGUAUUCAUUCAUUUCUAAUCAACAUAAUCACGUGUUACAAAAAUAAAUCUGCCCACCACAAGCAAAAUAAAACUGGGUUUUUAGACAAUUUUGACAAUUAUAACCAAUAUUUUUUUAAAAUGCAACUGCUCAAACCCACUGCUUAUGUCUCUUUAAAAUAACAUAACUUUAGCUGAAUAUUUACCAUUUUGUUUGUUUUAAUAACUUGGCCAAAAACACAAGUGCCAUCUUAUGAACGUGUUGAUUCAUUGCACAAAAUACAACAGAGAAAGAAUCAAUUUUACAGAAUCAUUAAGAUACGUAGGUAUUAAAACAUUGUCAGUAAAUAGCAUAUUUAUUUUAGCUGGUGUGCCAACCGCCAUAAAACUCUGACAGAAGAAGAAGUGCCAUCUUACCUUUGCCAGUACGACUGUGCUCUUGCAGUUAGGCGGCCUGUGAAUGAGGAGGUCUUGUACCCAGCCGCUGCAAAACUGUUCAUGAGCUUGAAGGGAUUUAUAGCUCUUAAACUCCUGCAAAGUGUACGCACUCAAUCCUAAAACGAGGUAAUUGACGAUGUCCAUACAUGUGAGCGGAGGUAGUGCGUCUGGAUCCGUAAUCCAGUCUUGGGCUGCUAAAUCAAAUGGAUCUAUCUUGUUUAUCUCGGACAGUUUGUCUAAAUAACGUUUUUUUUUUGGAAGUGGCAUUUAGUUUCUCCCGAUAGGGCCCCUUCUCUUUUUCUUUCAACUUCUCCAUUACUUCCGUUCUUCAAUUUUACCUCGUUUUAGCCAAACACACCCACAAUUAAAUGUCAUAGCAAUGGUUGGCGAAAACGUAAACAGAGAUCGUGCCUCUAAACAUGGCGCCCACGUCCCAUAAUGCAACACUGUGUGACGUACCUUCACAUUCCCUAUUAGGCUAUAACUAAAAUAAAAUAAAAUAAAAUACCACAAUAGUCUUGAUUUGUUCAAUUAUUCAAAUAAAAUACUUCACCGUAUGAUCUCAACGUCUAUAC
rnacentral:lncRNA from 1 species